CGUUAUGUCCUCACUGCGUACCUUCAACUUUGGAGAAUCCAGACAGAGAAGAAGAACCGCGUACUGAGGACAUGCGAGGGAGGAGAUGAUCUGCAGCAUCCUGGUGAUCUUCAUCCUGACCUCCUGUGUCUGUGCAGGGUCAUUUGUAGUGAAUGUGACACAGAGCUGGUAUCAUGCAGAGGAGAAGCACAACAUCUCACUGGAAUGGAUGUUCCCCACCAGCACGGACCACUCCACCAACUCCCUCUAUGUCUCCUGUGAGAUGUUAGCUGAUGAGAUACCCUAUGUCCUGUUUAGUCUAUAUGAAGGUGUGGAGAUCCCAGAGUAUCAGGAUCAACGCUUUGCAGGACGAGUCCAGUGGGACAAAGACGUCCUCAGAGAAGGACGACUCAGACUUCACAUCUCCAGACUCCAGACUAAUGACUCUGGGCUGUACUGGUGUCAAGUGGACACAAGUUAUGGGAAGAACUAUAAGGAAUGUCACCUCAAUGUCACUGCAGUGAAGGAUCGACCUGAACCUGAGAGAACCAGUGACACCAGUCUGAGAGGAAGGAUCGUUCUCUACUGGGUACUGGUACUGGGACUAGCAGCAGCUCUACUGGUUGUUUCUUUAUUUUUUAUCUGCAUUGAAAAGAAAAGAUUUAUGAACAGCACCAAAAAAAAUACAUCAUUGUUAAAUUCAUCUAAGUGUUUGCACACAAAGUGUCUGACUUCUGACAUCAGAGUAUAAAUGUAUGUUGAUGACAUCUACUGUGUACAUUCAAAUUAACCGAUUUAUAUCUGUAAAUAAAUUAUUUCAUUACAUCACUUUUUCGUGUAAAUUGUCUUUUUUUCUUUCC